rnacentral:rRNA from 1 species
UGGGGAAUAUUGGACAAUGGGGGAAACCCUGAUCCAGCAAUGCCGCGUGAGUGAAGAAGGCCUUAGGGUUGUAAAGCUCUUUCGCCCGCGAAGAUAAUGACGGUAGCGGGAGAAGAAGCCCCGGCUAACUCCGUGCCAGCAGCCGCGGUAAUACGUAGGGGGCAAGCGUUGUCCGGAUUUACUGGGUGUAAAGGGUGCUCAGGCGGAUUUGUAAGUCAGAGGUGAAAUCUUACAGCUUAACUGUGAAACUGCCUUUGAUACUGCAAGCCUAGAGUAUGGAAGAGAGUGAUGGAAUAUCUGGUGUAGCAGUGAAAUGCGUAGAUAUCAGAUAGAACACCAAUGGCGAAGGCAGUCACUUGGUCCAUUACUGACGCUAAAGCACGAAAGCGUGGGUAGCAAACA